AACGAACGCUGGCGGCAGGCUUAACACAUGCAAGUCGGGCGCCCCGCAAGGGGAGCGGCAGACGGGUGAGUAACGCGUGGGAACGUACCCUUUGCUACGGAAUAGCUCCGGGAAACUGGAAUUAAUACCGUAUGUGCCCUACGGGGGAAAGGUUUAUCGGCAAAGGAUCGGCCCGCGUUGGAUUAGCUAGUUGGUGGGGUAAUGGCCUACCAAGGCGACGAUCCAUAGCUGGUCUGAGAGGAUGAUCAGCCACAUUGGGACUGAGACACGGCCCAAACUCCUACGGGAGGCAGCAGUGGGGAAUAUUGGACAAUGGGCGCAAGCCUGAUCCAGCCAUGCCGCGUGAGUGAUGAAGGCCUUAGGGUUGUAAAGCUCUUUCACCGGAGAAGAUGAUGACGGUAUCCGGAGAAGAAGCCCCGGCUAACUUCGUGCCAGCCGCCGCAGUAAGAC
rnacentral:rRNA from 1 species